AAAUUGAUCAUGGGUCAGGAUUAAUCCGCUAUGGGAUGCUUACACAUGUGGUAAGCUGAACCGCAGCAAUGGACUUCUGGCUCCGGUGGUGAUAUGAACGGGUGAGCAAUGUAUCGGAACGUGCUCAGUAGCGGGGAGAAUUAGCGAAAAAGCAGUAGCUAAUACCGCAUACGCCCCCUUCGGGGAAAGCGGGGGACCUCGGGCCUCGCACUAUUAGAGCGGCCGAUAUCGGAUUAGCUAGUUGGUGGGGUAACGGCUCACCAAGGCGACGAUCCGUAGCUGGUUUGAGAGGACGACCAGCCACACUGGGACUGAGACACGGCCUAGACUCCUACGGAGGCAGGGAAUUUUGGACAAUGUGAAACCCUGAUCCAGCCAUCCCGCGUGUGCGAUGAAGGCCUUCGGGUUGUAAAGCACUUUUGGCAGGAAAGAAACGGCACGGGAUAACACCGUGCAACUGACGGUACCCGCAAGAAUACACCGGCUAACCACGUGCCAGCAGCCGCGUGGCACGUAGGUGCAAGCGUUAAUCGGAAUUAUUACUGGGCGUAAAGCGUGCGCAGGCGGUUCGAAAAGAAAGAUGUGAAAUCCCAGAGCUUAACCGGAACUGCAUUUUUAACUACCGAGCUAGAGUGUGUCAGAGGGAGGUGGAAUUCCGCGUGUAGCAGUGAAAUGCGUAGAUAUGCGGAGGAACAUCGAUGGCGAAGGCAGCCUCCUGGGAUAACACUGACGCUCAUGCACGAAAGCGUGGGGACAAACAGGAUUAUUAUUCUGGUAGUCCACGCCCUAAACGAUGUUCAACUAGCUGUUGGGGCCUCGGCCCGUAGCAGCUAACGCGUGUAAAGUUGACCGCCUGGGGAGUACGGUCGCAAGAUUAAACCCGUAUGAAUGACGGGACCGCACAAGCGGUGGAUGAUGUGGAUUAAUUCGAUGCAACGCGAAAACCUUACCUACCCUUGACAUGUUCAAACUCUGAAGAGAUUUGGGAGUGCUCGCAAGAGAACCGGAACACAGGUGCUGCAUGGCUGUCGUCAGCUCGUGUCGUGAGAUGUUGGGUUAAGUCUCAACGAGCGCAACCCUUUGCGUCAUUAGUUGCUACGAAAGGGCACUCUAAUGAGACUGCCGGUGACAAACCGGAGGAAGGUGGGGAUGACGUCGUGUCUCAUGGCCCUGCUGGUAGGGCUUCACACGUCAUACAAUGGUCGGGACAGAGGGUCGCCAACCCGCGAGGGGAGCCAAUCCCAGAAACCCGAUCGUAGUCCGGAUCGCAGUCUGCAACUCGACUGCGUGAAGUCGGAAUCGCCAGUAAUCGCGGAUCAGCAUGUCGCGGUGAAUACGUUCCCGGGUCUGUACACACCGCCCGUCACACCAUGGGAGUGGGUUUUACCAGAAGUAGUUAGCCUAACGGCAAGGAGGGAUUACCACGGUAGGAUUCAUGACUGGGGUGAAGUCGUAAUGAAGGUAAC
rnacentral:rRNA from 1 species